AGGGACAGCAGCAGCCGCGGGAAUACCGAGGGUGCGAGCGUUAAUCGGAUUUACUGGGCGUAAAGCGUGCGUAGGCGGCUUCUUAAGUCGGAUGUGAAAUCCCUGAGCUUAACUUAGGAAUUGCAUUCGAUACUGGGAAGCUAGAGUAUGGGAGAGGAUGGUAGAAUUCCAGGUGUAGCGGUGAAAUGCGUAGAGAUCUGGAGGAAUACCGAUGGCGAAGGCAGCCAUCUGGCCUAAUACUGACGCUGAGGUACGAAAGCAUGGGGAGCAAACAGGAUUAGAUACCCGAGUAGUCCCUGUCUCUUAUAC
rnacentral:rRNA from 1 species